rnacentral:misc_RNA from 1 species
GUUUACAACCUCUGUUAAUAAUGUUGGCAGAAGGCAUCCCAAGUGGGGCACCCCCUUCCCCAGAUAUGAUCUUUCUCUUGUGCUUGCUCCAGCUGGGCAUUAUUUUUCGGACAUUGUCUUGGAGGCUAAAGCAACCGAAUCAAUAUGUUGGAGAUGUAAUGUAUGCUCUAAAUCAGUGCCACAUAUGCAUUGUCAUAAAGUUGUGCUGUGGUCAAGUUGUGAUUAUCUGCGGGCCUUAUUUCAGUCAGGCAUGCUGGAGAGGUGCUUACAUGACUAUUAUAUUGUAACUUUAGAU